rnacentral:rRNA from 1 species
CUACGGGCGGCUGCAGUAGGGAAUUUUCGGCAAUGGGGGAAACCCUGACCGAGCAACGCCGCGUGAAUGACGAAGUACUUCGGUAUGUAAAGUUCUUUUAUCAAGGAAGAACGACUCGUGGGAAAGCGAGUGUGACGGUACUUGAUGAAUAAGCCCCGGCUAACUAUGUGCCAGCAGCCGCGGUAAUACAUAGGGGGCGAGCGUUAUCCGGAAUUAUUGGGCGUAAAGGGUGCGUAGGCGGCCAUUUAAGUCUGAGGUAUAAGUGCAGUGCUUAACGCUGUGAUGCUUUAGAAACUGGAUGGCUAGAGUGUGGUAGAGGUAAGUGGAAUUCCAUGUGUAGCGGUAAAAUGCGUAAAUAUAUGGAGGAACACCAGUGGCGAAGGCGGCUUACUGGGCCACAACUGACGCUGAGGCACGAAAGCGUGGGGAGCAAACAGGAUUAGAUACCCGAGUAGUC